GAAAAGAGAAGGGAAAUGAAAUUCCCCGAUGAUUUUUAGUUCCGAUGUUUGGUAACAUAAGGAAAAUCAUAUAGAAAGUUGUUAAUUAAAAUAAUAAAAUAAUAUACUGUGAGUAAUAAAUGUAACAAAAUGAGAUGAGAAAGUGAAUCCUAUGGAUUUUGGAAUGAACAACUUUUCCUCACAUUUUCCCAAUGUUCAGGAAAGUAUUUCAUUUCCUUCAGCAUUCCCAAACGCAGGAAAUAAACAAUUUUUCUUUCCUGAUGGUUACUUUUUACGAACCAAACGAGGCCUUGAAAUUGAAUCGAUCUACAUGGUUGGAUGAAGCAAUUAUUGCGGAAGAAAUAGUUUUCCCUUUUUAUUAUAAAUAAUACACAUAUUGUUUUUGAUAAGGCUGUUAAUUUGGGUAGGGAAGCUGCUUCCCUUUCGUGUAUUCGUUGUUUUUUUU
rnacentral:lncRNA from 1 species